rnacentral:ncRNA from 1 species
UAUCAAUAGGGGAGCUGCGCAUAAAGCGGCUGAGAGGGAAUUUUCAGUUCCGACCCUUGACCUGAUUCGGAUAAUGCCGGCGUAGGGAAUUGUUUGU